CGGAGGCUACCGCUAUUGGAGUUCGAUUAAGCCAUGCGAGUCGAGAGUCUUAGGGACUCGGCGUACCGCUCAGUAACACGUGGGUAACCUGCCCUAUGCUGGGGAAUAACCUCGGGAAACUGAGAAUAAUGCCCCACAGUCCACAAUGCCUGGAACGGUUUGUGGAUCAAAGCUCCGGCGGCAUAGGAUGGGCCUGCGGCGUAUCAGGUUGUAGGGGGUGUAACGUACCCUCUAGCCAUCAACGCGUACGGGUGUUGGGAGACAUAGCCCGGAGAUGGAUUCUGAGACACGAAUCCAGACCCUACGGGGUGCAGCAGGCGCGAAAACUUGGCAAUGCGAGAAAUCGUGACCAGGGAACUCCAAGUGACUGGGGUAAGACCCAGUCUUUUCUUGACUCUUCAAAGGUCUUGGAAUAAGGGGUGGGUAAGGACGGUGCCAGCCGCCGCGGUAAUACCGGCGCCUCAAGUGGUAGUCGAUUUUAUUGGGCCUAAAACGUCCGUAGCCUGUUUGGUACAUUCGUGGGUAAAUCAACCAGCUCAACUGGUUGAAUUCUGCGAGCACGGCCAGACUUGGGACCGGGAGAGGUGUGGGGUACGCUCAGGGUAGGGGUAAAAUCCUGUCAUCCUGAGCGGACCACCUGUUGCGAAGGCGCCACACUAGAACGGAUCCGACGGUCAGGGACGAAGCCUAGGGGCACGAACCGGAUUAGAUACCCGGGUAGUCCUAGGUGUAAACGCUGUGGACUUGGUGUUGGGGACUCUCCGAGAAUCCUCAGUGCCGAAGCGAAGGUGAUAAGUCCACUGCCUGGGGAGUACGGUCGCAAGGCUGAAACUUAAAGGAAUUGGCGGGG
rnacentral:rRNA from 1 species